AGCAACCAAACACACAAAUAACUUCCCAUCUUUAUUUGAAGUAAAAGUAUUCUUGUUGAUAAAUAACCUGUUCAGGACAGAAAGCUAGUAAAAAUACAUUGUAAAUCAAUUAUUGGGUCAAAGAAAACGUCUGAUAUGAUCUGGGAAAUCACCUGUGUCUAUAAAUAGAAAACAAAGAAUUCCAUUUGAACAUGAAUGGUGGAACACGUUCUCUGGUCUAAAGAUCAGCUGUCAUGGUUUACAAGUUUACAGGAAUAUUCAAGUCCAUGACGGGGCGGAAGUCUGUCAAUGGUACUGGAUGGACAUUAGGCCCUGCCGUCCUGAGGCCAAUGUCAAAGCCAACUGACCCCAGACCAUCAGGACUGUCCACAGGCAAAAGGACGAGAUCCUGGUCAGGAUAGGUGGUACUCCUAGCUCUGGUUGGGUGAUCUGGUGCUGGUGGUAUCUGGAGCUCAAUAGAUUUAUUUCAGUUCAGCACCACUUCUCGUUUUUUUUGCAGUAGUUUUUAAGCCAGGAAAUAUCAUUGAUGAGGUGCUAGGCCUUUACGGCUGCAUGUUAGGCGAAAUCAUGAUCCCCUCCAUGAUGGACCCUAAGGGGGGCAUGUGGCUGUCUAGGUUCUAGUACUUUAUCACUGAUAUUUCGGGGUUAAAUUCUGUUGUAAUUGGGGCGGGUAAGGGUAGUUGUUCUGCAAUAAGUCUCUUGUAGCAAAAGAUACUCCGGUGUUGGAAAGUCUGAUUGGGGUGAAGGGUCAACUUAUUCUGUCUGACAGAAAAGCAAGCCCCUCGGUCAAGGGAGAACGGGGGACGUGCCUAGAGGUGGCAUCAGGAGCCCUGCCAGGUCUCGGAAAGCUGACUGUGCUCACACUAGCGGGAGCAGUGUAGAGCCAGUCAUCAAAGGAUCUUUGUCAACAAGGCGAUAAAGACCUUAAGGAUGGACAGAGUGGCAGUAAUCUGUUUAUUCCAUAAAGCUGUGGUUGCCUGGAUCUAAGCCAUCAGGCUGAUGGAUAGGUCCAGAGCAAGCCCAAGCACCUGGAUGUGGUGCUGGAGCCCCUGUCGGUCUCCGAAAGCUAACUGCUUUGCACACUUGAUAUUCAGUGUGGGGCAGUCCAAUAGGAUCAGGUCACCAAGAUCCUACGGGUGGGACAUAGUGGCAGGACUAUAGUCUCUGUAGAGCAGGGCAUGUCCAUAUGGCAAGUAAGAUGUGCGAGAU